AAUGCGGGUUUCGGCAACGGGCAGCCGCGAACCGUGUCAGGCGGGGAACCGAGCAGCACUAAGCGAUCUUCCCGUGUGCAAUCGAAACCCGCAUUCGG
rnacentral:SRP_RNA from 1 species